rnacentral:rRNA from 1 species
UGGGGAAUAUUGCACAAUGGGCGCAAGCCUGAUGCAGCCAUGCCGCGUGUGUGAAGAAGGCCUUCGGGUUGUAAAGCACUUUCAGCGAGGAGGAAGGUGGUGGACUUAAUACGUUCAUCAAUUGACGUUACUCGCAGAAGAAGCACCGGCUAACUCCGUGCCAGCAGCCGCGGUAAUACGGAGGGUGCAAGCGUUAAUCGGAAUUACUGGGCGUAAAGCGCACGCAGGCGGUUUGUUAAGUCAGAUGUGAAAUCCCCGGGCUCAACCUGGGAACUGCAUUUGAAACUGGCAAGCUAGAGUCUCGUAGAGGGGGGUAGAAUUCCAGGUGUAGCGGUGAAAUGCGUAGAGAUCUGGAGGAAUACCGGUGGCGAAGGCGGCCCCCCUGGACGAAGACUGACGCUCAGGUGCGAAAGCGUGGGGCAGCAAACAGGAUUAGAUACCCUGGUAGUCCACGCUGUAAACGAUGUCGAUUUUGGAGGUUGUGCCCCUUGAGGCGUGG